rnacentral:rRNA from 1 species
GAUGAACGCUGGCGGCGUGCCUAAUACAUGCAAGUCGAGCGAACAGACGCGGAGCUUGCUCCUCUGACGUUAGCGGCAGACGGGUGAGUCACACGUGUAUCACCUCCCUAUAAGACUGGGAUAACUUCGGGAAACCGGCGCUAAUACCGGAUAAUAUAUUGAACCACAUGGUUCAUUAGUGAAAGACGGUUUUGCUGUCACUUAUCGCUGGAUCCGCGCCGCAUUAGCUAGUUGGUAGGGUAACGGCUUACCACGGCGAGGAUGCGUUGCCGACGUGAGAGGGGGGUCGGCGACACGGGAAGUGAGACAGGGUCCAGACUCCUAAGGGACGCAGCAGUAGCGAAUGUUAGGCAAUGGUCGAAAGCCUGACGGAGUGACGCGGCGUGAGAGAUGAAGGUCCUCGGAGCGUAAUAACCUGUUAUGAGGUAAGAACAGCUGUGUAAGUAACCAUGCACUGCGUGACGGUAACGAAUAAGAAAGCACCGGCUAACUACGUG